rnacentral:rRNA from 1 species
CUACGGGUUGCUCCAGUGGGGAAUUUUGCGCAAUGGGGGAAACCCUGACGCAGCAAUACCGCGUGAGUGAAGAAGGCCUUUGGGUCGUAAAGCUCUUUUCUUGGGGAAGAUAGUGACGGUACCCAAGGAAUAAGCACCGGCUAACUCCGUGCCAGCAGCCGCGGUAAUACGGAGGGUGCAAGCGUUGUUCAGAUUUACUGGGCGUAAAGGGCACGUAGGCGGCACAGCAAGUUAAGGGUGAAAUCCCGGGGCUCAACUCCGGAACUGCUCUUAAAACUGCUGAGCUAGAGAUAGUCAGAGGCGGGUGGAAUUCCAGGUGUAGAGGUGAAAUUCGUAGAUAUCUGGAGGAACACCGGUGGCGAAGGCGGCCCGCUGGGGCUAUUCUGACGCUAAGGUGCGAAAGCGUGGGGAGCAAACGGGAUUAGAUACCCUUGUAGUC